rnacentral:rRNA from 1 species
CUGGGGAGUACGACCGCAAGGUUGAAACUCAAAGGAAUGACGGGCCCGCACAAGCGGUGGAGCAUGUGGUUUAAUUCGAAGCACGCGAGAACCUUACCAGGUCUUGACAUCCUUUGACCACUCUGGAGACAGAGCUUUCCCUUCGGGGACAAGUGACAGGUGGUGCAUGGUUGUCGUCAGCUCGUGUCGUGAGAUGUUGGGUUAGUCCCGCAACGAGCGCAACCCUUGAUUUUAGUUGCCAGCAUUUAGUUGGGCACUCUAAAGUGACUGCCGGUGCAAGCCGGAGGAAGGUGGGGAUGACGUCAAAUCAUCAUGCCCCUUAUGACCUGGGCUACACACGUGCUACAAUGGAUAGUACAAGGUCGCGAAGCCGCGAGGUGGAGCUAAUCCCAUAAAACUAUUCUCAGUUCGGAUUGUAGGCUGCAACUCGCCUACAUGAAGCCGGAAUCGCUAGUAAUCGUGGAUCAGCAUGCCACGGUGAAUACGUUCCCGGGCCUUGUACACACCGCCCGUCACACCACGAGAGUUUGUAACACCCGAAGUCGGUAGGGUAACCUUUAUGGAGCCAGCCGCCGAAGGUGGGACAGAUAAUUGGGGUGAAGUCGUAACAAGGUAGCCGUAUCGGAAGGUGCGGCUGGAUCACCUCCUUUCUAAGGAA